rnacentral:misc_RNA from 1 species
GCUCCUUCAAGCAGAUCUUGGAAGCAUUGACAACCUUGACAUUCUUAAGGUUGGGAAACUCGAAGCUUGACAGGAAAUGAAUAUCAUGUUCUUUGGCCAAAUAUCCCAAUUCAAAUGGGCAUUGCUCAAGAUCCAAAGAAGUAGUUUCCAUGGUUAUGUUGAGUGUCUCCACAUGAGGCGAGGCUCGCAACAUGAUAGCUGCUCCAUAGAAAUAAGGCUCUGUGAUAUGCCAAUCCAGA